CAUACUUCUGUCCCUCAGGGACCCGAGCGCGGGGCAGACAGGUCUCAUUUUGGAUCUUUUCUUACAGAGCUGAGGUCGUGUUUACUAGAUGAAAACUCGUUACCAUGUUUGUAGUCUUCUAUUUACUCGGGUGUCUGGCAUAUGAAUACCGUUGUAUCCCCAAGUUCGACUUUGAGAUGGAACUCUUGGGAAAACAUGCAUCUGGGAUAAAUCUGGGAUAGAACUGGAGUCUGUCAGAUUUGGAACCGGACGUUCCUUGCAGCGCCAGAAGAACUCGACUCUACCCUAGAUGUAACCGGAAUACUGUACCGAAAUCAAUACUGAAACUCUACAAGAACGGGGGAAAGAUCAUCUGUUCAGUGAAGUCGCCGAAAGACAGGGACACGUGAAGACAACAACACCGAAACAGCACCUCGAAAUACUUCCUGGCUCAGCGGAGAUGUGCGACCUAUACGACGCUCAAAAAUAGAGACGGGGCAGAGACAGGCAUCUGUAAAGAGCUUGACCGUCUGUUGGAAGAGGAGCUCGAAAGUGUCGAGAUCGCCGUCUAAAGAUCAACUGUGGGGGAGAGGAAGCUUGUAGGUGGAAAUAAAGGCCGAGGACGCUCUCGUGGUGCCCGUGCAGGCGGAAGAUGACGUGGUCGAGUAGCUAGAUUGAGACCUCACCGCUCUGCUGUUAAAGUCUCAUUUCUUUAAAUCUUAGCCAAAAUGUAUUGCAUGGUCUUUAUUUUCUGUUAUUCAGUAGCCAAUUGUUCGUGCUUUUGUAUUUCAUAGUAUCAGUGCCAUCAAACAUACCAUGAUGCUUUUCUUGUAGAUAGUAGCAUAACGGAUACGUGCAGAAUUGAAAAAAAAAACAGUUUAAAUGAAGUACCUU